UGACAUGAGCAGCCCCUUGUACCUGUA
rnacentral:piRNA from 1 species